rnacentral:rRNA from 1 species
AGUGAACGCUGGCGGUAGGCCUAACACAUGCAAGUCGAACGGCAGCACAGUAAGAGCUUGCUCUUACGGGUGGCGAGUGGCGGACGGGUGAGGAAUACAUCGGAAUCUACUUUUUCGUGGGGGAUAACGUAGGGAAACUUACGCUAAUACCGCAUACGACCUACGGGUGAAAGCAGGGGAUCUUCGGACCUUGCGCGAAUGAAUGAGCCGAUGUCGGUUUAGCUAGUUGGCGGGGUAAAGGCCCACCAAGGCGACGAUCCGUAGCUGGUCUGAGAGGAGGAUCAGCCACACUGGAACUGAGCCACGGUCCAGACUCCUACGGGAGGCAGCAGUGGGGAAUAUUGGACAAUGGGCGCAAGCCUGAUCCAGCCAUACCGCGUGGGUGAAGAAGGCCUUCGGGUUGUAAAGCCCUUUUGUUGGGAAAGAAAAGCAGCAGGUUAAUACCCCGCUGUUCUGACGGUACCCAAAGAAUAAGCACCGGCUAACUUCGUG